rnacentral:tRNA from 5 species
CCUCUGUAGUUCAGUCGGUAGAACGGCGGACUGUUAAUCCGUAUGUCACUGGUUCGAGUCCAGUCAGAGGCC